CUAACCGGUACCUCAAAUGCUACCACCAAACAGAGCCUAAGAUAGUUCGUGCACCAAAAAAAGAACGAGCUUAUUGGCGAAAAGGCGGGAAACUCCCACAAAAUAAUCUAUACCUAGUAUUUAAAAACACAAACCAUCAUGCAAUCAUUGCCAUGUGUCAACUUUUUUUUUUUUUUUUUGAAUAAUGCCACAUGUCACCUUAUUUAACCUAUCCUUUAAAUCCCCUUUCUAACAUAUAAUAAAAAUUAAAAAUAAAAAACAUAUCCUUUUAAUCCCCUUUCUAACAUAAAAUAAAAAAUAAAAAUAAAAAUAUCCACAAGUCAAUACAUAUUAAUGUUGUUUAGUUCAUUCUCCUCCAACUUAAUAUCUCGUUUAUUUAAUUUCCACCCCUUCUUCUACAACGAAUAAAUUAAAAACAAAUUACUCGUAUAAAAUAAAAAUACGGGCUAGAAGACUAAUUCUAAGCUGCCAAGCAUCGGAAAGACACUCAUCGCCGAGGGAGGAGAGAGGAAGAUUAAAAAUCGCCAUAAUCACAGUUCUCAAUCAAUUUAUAGUUUCCAUUUCUUCAUAAUUUAGGAACUUCUCAAAUCCAGUUCAAAGAUAAAUCAUCAACACCCAAAAAAAAAGAGGGGAAGUUUUUCGAAAACCAGCAAAAAUGGUGAAGACAACGAAAGGAGGCAAAGUCAUGAACCCUACUGAUGCUUAUCGGAAGGAGCUCCGUAAAAAGGAAUUAAAAAGGAACAAGAAAGAGAGAAAAAAGGUUCGGGAGGUUGGUCUUUUGAAGAAGGAUCCUGAUCAGAUCAAAGAUCAGAUUCAGAAGUUAGAGAUGAUGAAGGCUGAAGGUGCACUUGACAAAGCAAGAAAACACAAGAAAAGGCAGCUUGAGGAUACUUUGAACCUUGUUAUGAAGAAGAGAAAGGAGUAUGAAGAAAAAAUGAAGGAAAAGGGUGAGGAUCCAGUUAUGUUCAGUCAUUUGGGACCUGUACAGAGACGGACCUCAGCUGAAGAGGAGGAGAGAGCAAAGCAUCCACAACCUGAAGAUUCUGUAUACUAUCAUCCAACGUUGAAUCCCACAGGAGCUCCACCCCCUGGAAAGCCUCCUAUGUACAAGUCUUCUAUAGGGCCUCGGAUUCCAUUGUCAGAAGCUUCCUCGUCAAAUGGUGCUGCAUCUUCUGUAGGUCUUGAUGAUUUUGAAUUGCCUGCAUCACCUCCACCACCUCCUUUGCCGAUAAUGGGUGAUCCUGAUUCUAGUCAUGACACUGAAAUACCUUCAUCUCUGCCUCCACCACCUCCACCACCAAUGCCUCCGAAGUCUUCGGAUCCAAACUUGGCAUCAGCAUUGCCUCUACCUCCACCUCCUCCACCACCUCCUGGCCCUCCUCCUAGAGAGCUUAUUGGAGUUCGUCCUCCACCCCCUCCAUCCACUCAGCAACCACCACCACCACCACCUGGUAUUUCUGGAAGUGAGAGGGAUGGCACUACUUCAAAAGAUUCGCAGGGGUCUAAUAUUCUUCUCCCUCCACCACCUCCACCACCUGGAUUACCACCAAAAUUUGCAGGGAAUCAAUCUGGUGUUGAAUCUGAUGCCGUAAAUCAGGAAGUGGGCAAUGAUCUUCCAAAUAUGGUCCCACCACCUCCAUCACGGCAGCCUUCACUAUCAGGUAUGCCUGGAGGCCCAGGACCAGCUGCACUCCCUGCAUUACAGCCUGAUGUGCUACCCCCAGGCACUUCAAGAUUCCCUCCACCCCCUCCACCGGACACAAGGCCACCAUUAUCUGCAUCUGGAUUUCCAGGGCAACCUGUACCCCCUGGAAUUGCACCACUUAUGCCUAGGCCACCUUUUGGUCCCCCCCCUGGACCACCUCCUAUGAUGAGACCUCCACUUCCUCCAGGUCCACCACCUAUGAUGCUACAGGAUGAUUCAACUGCAAUGAGGCCAACUGUUCCACAGAAACCAUCUUAUGUUAAAUCAGCUGCACCUACAGUUGUAAAGAGGCCUCUAGCUCAGCACACACCAGAGCUCACAGCUAUGGUUCCUGCAUCUGUACGUGUUAGAAGAGAGUCUGCUCUUCCAAAGCCAAAACCAAAAGCGAUGACAAACGCACCUAUCUCUCAGCAGCCCAUGACUUCUGCUCCAAAACCAGAAUCAGUAACAACCGCAUCAGCACCAAAAGCACCAAGCAUUGACGAUUCAUAUAUGGCUUUCUUGGAGGACAUGAAAGCCCUUGGUGCUCUUGAUAGUUGACGUGAAUAUUAUUGCAAGGGAUUCUUAUUGUCUCAACCUACAGGCUCGUUGUUUAUUUGGUUAUAAACUCUGAUUGAGGGAGGCCUCGUUUGUCUACAUGAUGCCUGUUGCAGUUACACCCUCUGUUUUCUCCUUUGGUCACCAUUGUACCCAUUUUUCUCUCUGAUCAUAUUUUUCUAAGGCUAUAUCAGUUUUUAUUUUAGUUUGUAUACUGUUUUGUACUUAUAAAAUUAUUGGUAUAAGCUAAUUUGAAUGUUUUUUUUGGUUUGAUAAAUUAGCAUACUCUGUAGUAUAUAACACGAUAUUAGUAAUGUUUUAUCUUUUUUAAAGAAGCCCGUGGGCUUAGGGUUGUGCUUGGGAUGGAUCUAUGCAACCCUAAAGCCCAUAGGUUAGGCUCACUGCCUAGCCCAGCCUAAAACCAUUUUAUACUAUAACCAAAAUCUCAGGAUCGAGUAUUUUUU